rnacentral:rRNA from 1 species
GACGAACGCUGGCGGCGUGCUUAACACAUGCAAGUCGAGCGGAGCGGCCAACGGGUGAGUAACGCGUGAGUAACUGCCCCCCUCUCUGGGAUAACAGUUGGAAACGGCUGCUAAUACCGGAUAGUGGGGGAUGACUCGCGUCCUAUCAGCUUGUUGGUGGGGUAGUGGCCUACCAAGGCGACGACGGGUAGCCGGCCUGAGAGGGUGAACGGCCACGUUGGGCUGAGAUACGGCCCAGACUCCGACGGGGGGCAGAAGUGGGGGAUAUUGGACAAUGGGCGAAAGACUGAUGCAGCGACGCCGAGUGGGGGAUGAAGGCUUUAGGGUUGUAAACCUCUUUAGCUAUCGAAAGGGUAGGUGGAGAAGAAGCGCCGGCUAACUACGUGCCAGCAGCCGCGGUAAUUC